GUGAAUCCCCGGGCUUAACCUGGGAACUGCAUUUGAAACUGGCAGGCUAGAGUCUCGUAGAGGGGGGUAGAAUUCCAGGUGUAGCGGUGAAAUGCGUAGAGAUCUGGAGGAAUACCGGUGGCGAAGGCGGCCCCCUGGACGAAGACUGACGCUCAGGUACGAAAGCGUGGGGAGCAAACAGGAUUAGAUACCCUGGUAGUCCACGCUGUAAACGAUGUCGAUUUGAAGGUUGUGGUCUUGAGCCGUGGCUUUCGGAGCUAACGCGUUAAAUCGACCGCCUGGGGAGUACGGCCGCAAGGUUAAAACUCAAAUGAAUUGACGGGGGCCCGCACAAGCGGUGGAGCAUGUGGUUUAAUUCGAUGCAACGCGAAGAACCUUACCUACUCUUGACAUCCAGAGAACUGAGCAGAGAUGCUUAGGUGCCUUCGGGAACUGUGAGACAGGUGCUGCAUGGCUGUCGUCAGCUCGUGUUGUGAAAUGUUGGGUUAAGUCCCGCAACGAGCGCAACCCUUAUCCUUUGUUGCCAGCGAUUCGGUCGGGAACUCAAAGGAGACUGCCGGUGAUAAACCGGAGGAAGGUGGGGAUGACGUCAAGUCAUCAUGGCCCUUACGAGUAGGGCUACACACGUGCUACAAUGGCGCAUACAAAGAGAAGCGAUCUCGCGAGAGUCAGCGGACCUCAUAAAGUGCGUCGUAGUCCGGAUUGGAGUCUGCAACUCGACUCCAUGAAGUCGGAAUCGCUAGUAAUCGUGGAUCAGAAUGCCACGGUGAAUACGUUCUCGGGCCUUGUACACACCGCCCGUCACACCAUGGGAGUGGGUUGCAAAAGAAGUAGGUAGCUUAACCUUAGGGAGGGCGUUUACCACUUUGUGAUUCAUGACUGGGGUGAAGUCGUAACAAGGUAACC
rnacentral:rRNA from 1 species